rnacentral:rRNA from 1 species
UGCAAGUCGAACGCGAAAGUGGGGGCAACCCUGCGAGUAGAGUGGCGAACGGGUGAGUAACACAUCGGAACGUACCCAGGAGUGGGGGACAACCUCGAGAAAUCGAGGCUAAUACCGCAUACGUCCUGAGGGAGAAAGUGGGGGAUCCGCAAGGACCUCGCGCUCAUGGAGCGGCCGAUGUCGGAUUAGCUAGUUGGCGGGGUAAGAGCCCACCAAGGCUACGAUCCGUAGCUGGUUUGAGAGAACGACCAGCCACACUGGGACUGAGACACGGCCCAGACUCCUACGGGAGGCAGCAGUGGGGAAUUUUGGACAAUGGGGGCAACCCUGAUCCAGCCAUGCCGCGUGAGUGAAGAAGGCCUUCGGGUUGUAAAGCUCUUUCGGCCGGAACGAAAUCGCGUACGUGAAUAACGUGCGUGGAUGACGGUACUGGAAGAAGAAGCACCGGCUAACUACGUGCCAGCAGCCGCGGUAAUACGUAGGGUGCGAGCGUUAAUCGGAAUUACUGGGCGUAAAGCGUGCGCAGGCGGUUCUGCAAGUCAGAUGUGAAAUCCCCGGGCUUAACCUGGGAACUGCGUUUGAAACUACGGAGCUAGAGUACGGCAGAGGGGGGUGGAAUUCCACGUGUAGCA